rnacentral:lncRNA from 1 species
GCCUCUCUCAUUGGCUAAGAAGAACACAACAAUACCCUAGGCAUUUUGGGAAAAGUGUCACUAGGCAACCGCGUCGGCGUCUGCUUUUAACCUGUGGGAGAACCCGGCGAGCUAAGCCAAACGGAGGGCGGGAGAGAGGAAGCGGCAGCUGGCGCCUCUCGGCAACUCUAACCCUCUGAUAGAGAUCGCCAAGAUUGGUAUCCAUAGAGCUUGCUGUGGUUUGAAUGUAUCCCCCAAAGUUCAUGUGUUGGAAACUAUUCUUAAUGCAAAAGUGUUAAGAGGAAACAUUUGGAAACCCCUUGGAGGAGAUCUGCCACAUGGCCUCCAGUGAACUGUAGACUCCUGCAUAGCCUUCCAAAGUUCUUCAUUUGGUGAAUAUUAUGAGAAAUGACACGUAUGACUUUCUCCCAAAUACGUGGCUUAAACCCAAAGUACAGUGAAAUCAGAACUGACCACACAGAGUAAUUGGGGCAAGGGAGUUAUUUGUGACACAAAGCCCUCAUCACUUUAUAAAAGUACUUGCUACUGAUUACAUUGAAAACCAGUCUUCCUGAGUAAAACAUGUUUUUUGUUUUGUAUCGUUUUUGUUUUUGUUUUUUUGAGACAGAGUC